rnacentral:lncRNA from 1 species
CAUAUCGAUAUCUUUAUUGAUAAUACAUCUUCAGAUUGUUGGCAUUUCAUGUUCAGAGAAUCGUCGACCCUUUGAGAGUUUCUAGCCGAUAUGCGUCUGGUCUAAGAGUUUCCGAUAUUUUGUAAGGUCCUUCCCAGUUCGGGGAUAAUUUUUCUUGAUCCAGGAAUUUUGAGACUUCUGCUUUUCUUAAGACCAAAUCUUUUGAUCGAAAGACCUUCGAUUUGACUCUUGCGUUGUAAUACCGGACUAUCUUUUGUCGAUAUGCAGCCAUCCGAACUUGAGCUUGCUGUCGGAGUUUUGAGAGGAGAUCUAAGUCGGUUCUCCGACAUUCAAAGUUGCUCGGCUCACUAUAUUGCUUUACUCUUGUUGACGGCAAUCUGAUCUCAAGCGGUAUCAUUGCUUCUGUCCCAUAAGCUAAGUUGAAAGGAGAUUCUCCAGUUGGUAUGCGGGGAGUCGUUCGAUACGCCCAUAAGAUCGGAUAUAAUUCUUCUAUCCAGAGGUCUUUGGCUUCAUUUAGUCGGAUUUUUAGUCCGU